CUACGGGGCGCUCCAGUUACGAAACCUUCGCAAUGCUCUAACGAGCGACGAGGGAACUUGGAGUGUUCAUGCUCUGCAUGAACUUUUGCUUACUUCAAACAGGUAGGCGAAUAAGGGGUGGGUAAUACGAGUGCCAGCCGCCGCGGUAAUACUCGAGCCCCAAGUGGUAUCCGCUAUUAGUGGGUCUAAAGCGUCCGUAGCCGGUUUGGUAAGUUCCUAGUGAAAUUCUUUGGCAAACUGAAGAGCUUGCUGGGAAUACUACCAGACUUGGGACUGGGAGAGGGUAGAGGUACUCCCGGGGGAGGGGUAAAAUCCUAUAAUCCUGGGGGGACCACCUGUGGCGAAGGCUUCUACCUAGAACAGGUUCGACGGUGAGGGACGAAACCUAGGGGAGCGAUCGGGAUUAGAUACCCCUGUAGUC
rnacentral:rRNA from 1 species